CCUUACUCCACUACACUACAAAGCAGAGAGAAGAGCAAGGUCCCCUUGAAUCCUGACGAGUCCACCGCUUAACGAGGUGUGUUCACCUGUCCCUGUAGGAGUGCCAGGUGCUUCCAAGGCAGAGAAAGACCAAGGAUGGUGUCUACGGGAGAACAAGAGAUCUACAGUAUAUGCUGAUUCUCAAGAUCUUGCACACUAAUGAGAUGCCAUUGAGCCCACACUACUACACUGUCUGAGCCAAGGACGACAUGCUUUAUGGAAAAUGCCACGGGCACUAUCUGAUGUGUGGAGACAUUUCACUGCAGCUAAUGUAUAAGGAAAAGCUGUGUAUAUUUGCAAAUACUGUUCCAAAUCAUAUGUGAAGAACGCAACAAAGAUGCAGAAUCAUCUGGCCAAGUGCAUAAAGUUCCCUCAGUGCUCACAACAAGCAACCUCUGACAAAAGUCCCUCUACUUCUAUUCGAGGUGAAAAUGAUGAAUCAGACACCUUAUCGAUAGCAACAACUCAUGGUCUUCCUGGAAUCAGAAGUUUUUUUGACUCAAUAGAGGAACGCAGUCAGAGAAAUGCUGAUGAAUAUCUUGCUCGAGCUGUGUAUGCAACUGGUUCACACCUGAUGCUCCCAGGCAAUGUGUAUUGGAAGACAUUUCUGGAUGUUCUUCACCCAGCAUACACCCCUCCAACCAGACAUGCUUUAUCUACUCAUUUGCUGGAUGCAGAGUUCAACAGCGUUCAAGUGAAGGUCAAGCAAAUCAUAGAGAAAGCAGACUGUAUUGCAAUCAUCUCUGAUGGGUGGUCAAAUGUUCAUGGGCAAGGAAUAAUUAACUACAUCUCCACCCCUCAACCAGUUUUCUACAAUAGCACAGACACAAGGGACAACAGACACACCGGUCACUACAUUGCAGAUGAGCUGAAGGCAGUCAUCAAUGACCUUGGACCACAGAAGGUAUUUGCACUGGUGACAGACAAUGCUGCGAACAUGAAGGCUGCUUGAUCUAAAGUGGAGGAGUCUUACCCUCACACCCAUUGGCUGUGCUGCACAUGCAUUGAAUCUGCUCCUCAAAGACAUCAUGGCACUGAAAACAAUGGAUACACUACAAGAGAGCCAAGGAUAUGGUUAGGUAUGUGAAGGAUCAUCAAGUUAUAGCAGCAAUCUACCUCACCAAGCAAAGUGAGAAGAAUAAGAGCACCACAUUGAAGCUGCCCAGCAACACCCGUUGGGGUGGUGUUGUCAUCAUGUUUGACAGUCUCCUGGAGGGGAAGGAGUCUCUCCAAGAAAUGGCCAUAUCACAGUCUGCUGAUAUGGACAGCCCCAUCAUGAGGAUCCUCCUGGAUGAUGUAUUUUGGGAGAGAGUGGAAAACAGCCUGAAACCUAUAGCAGUAGCCAUUGCACGGAUUGAGGGAGACAAUGCCAUCCUGUCUGAUGUUCAGACUCUGCUUGCAGAUGUAAGAGAAGAAAUCCGUACUGCCCUGCCCACUUCACUGUUGCUCCAAGAGGAGGAAACUGCAGUUCUGAAAUACAUCAAAAAGCGUGAAGACUUCUGCCCGAAGCCCAUACACGCCGCAGCGUACAUGUUGGACCUCAAGUAUGCUGGCAAGAGCAUCCUGUCUGGUGC
rnacentral:lncRNA from 1 species